AUAAACCCACAAACCAUUCCUUCAUCCAGGCUAUCAAUAAAAUAUUGAAUGGAACUUAUGAACAGCCGAGUAACCAUUCAAUUUGUCCUUUACAUUUCACAGUGAACCAUUGGAAACUACUCUCAGAGUGUGGAUUCCAGCCGGAUUUGUGUCAUGACUUCAGCCAGGGCGUUAUUGCACUCAUCAAUGUUGUGUGGGCCUCAGUGACAUUGAGGAGGGAUGGAAGAUGGUAAAUGUGACAACAAUCCCACAGAAGGUCCCCAGGAGCGAAGUGGAGAAUUGCAUACUGACACACUGCGGUCUGUGCUUAGCAAGUGAGGAGAAAUGAUAAGAAAAUAAUGAUGAAACGGAUAAACAGCAACAUUUUAGCC
rnacentral:lncRNA from 14 species